GGUUCUCUGAUGGACGUUUUCACAAGAGUUCGUCUCUACUUCUCUCGAUGCAGAUUUCUGGAAUUUUUGCAGUUUCAAUUUCAAUCUCUGCUUUCUUUGUUCGUACGAGUUCAUCUUCGUGAUGCAGUUCGCUAAUAGGUUUUCAUUUUUACUACUGGCGGUCGUUUAUGACAGAUCUCAUUGUCUGGAUCCAAUUGACCUCAAUUUUGGUGCCAUUACUUGCAAGAAGCCAUUCGAAAUUUCAGCUAAAGGAAACGAACUGAAAGUCAUACUCCGUUAUGGCUGCCCGGUGGAGAAUUGGUGAAAAUUUACAGGUAAUGAACUUCAACCAAGUAUUUUUCCUUUUUACACUUUUUUUUUUAUGAUAUGAACAAUUAUU